AGUGGGUAUCAGGCAGAUUUCUGGGUGAGGCCCAGAGGAGCAUUUUUAUUCAUCCAUCCAUUCAACAAGGGACUAUGUCUUAUCCAACUUGUAUCCCUAGAGUAUAACACAACAUCUGCAUAUAAGACAGAAAGUCAGUGGAUUCAAAACGAUGAAAGUGGAUUCAAAACCUCUGUCAAGGGGUGCUGUCCUUUCCUGGCCAAGUCUCUUUUAUUCUCUUAGGGCUGCAACCUCUUCACCUGGGAAAUGAAUGGUCCUGUGAUUUACAAGAGCAGGGUCCAGGCUGAAGGUGCAGGCCCUAUCCAAGACACAACAUUUCCAGUGGCAGAGAUAAAAAAGUAAGAUUUCAGACUCAAA
rnacentral:lncRNA from 10 species